CCUACGGGUGGCAGCAGUGAGGAAUAUUGGUCAAUGGGCGCGAGCCUGAACCAGCCAAGUAGCGUGAAGGAUGACUGCCCUACGGGUUGUAAACUUCUUUUAUAAAGGAAUAAAGUGAGGCACGUGUGCCUCUUUGUAUGUACUUUAUGAAUAAGGAUCGGCUAACUCCGUGCCAGCAGCCGCGGUAAUACGGAGGAUCCGAGCGUUAUCCGGAUUUAUUGGGUUUAAAGGGAGCGUAGAUGGGUUGUUAAGUCAGUUGUGAAAGUGUGCGGCUCAACCGUAAGAUUGCAAUUGAUACUGGCAGACUUGAGUACAGUUGAGGUAGGCGGAAUUCGUGGUGUAGCAGUGAAAUGCUUAGAUAUCGCGAAGAACUCCGAUUGCGAAGGCAGCUUACUAGACUGCCACUGACAUUGAUGCUCGAAGGUGUGGGUAUCGAACGGGAUUAGAUACCCGAGUAGUC
rnacentral:rRNA from 1 species